GACGAACGCUGGCGGCGUGCUUAACACAUGCGAGUCGAACGCUGAAGACCUGGCUUUUGUUGGGUUGGAUGAGUGGCGAACGGGUGAGUAACACGUGAGUAACCUGCCCUCUUCUUUGGGAUAACGCCCGGAAACGGGUGCUAAUACUGGAUAUUCACUGGCCUUCGCAUGGGGGUUGGUGGAAAGGGUUGUUCUGGUGGGGGAUGGGCUCGCGGCCUAUCAGCUUGUUGGUGGGGUGAUGGCCUACCAAGGCUUUGACGGGUAGCCGGGCUGCGGGGGUGACCGGGCACAUUGGGACUGGGAUACGGCCCAGACUCAUACGGGAGGGAGCAGUGGGGAAUAUUGCACAAUGGGCGAACGCCUGAUGCCGCGACGCCGCGUGAGGGAUGGAGGCCUUCGGGUUGUAAACCUCUUUCGAUAAUGGUCAAGCCGCCACUGUGGGUUGUGGUGAGGGUAGUGGGUAAAGAAGCGCCGGCUAACUACGUG
rnacentral:rRNA from 1 species